rnacentral:rRNA from 1 species
ACGUAUGUCGCAAGCGUUAUCCGGAUUUAUUGGGCGUAAAGCGCGUCUAGGCGGUCUGGUAAGUCUGAUGUGGAAAUGCGGGGCUCAACUCCGUAUUGCGUUGGAAACUGCUAGACUAGAGUACUGGAGAGGUGGGCGGAACUACAAGUGUAGAGGUGAAAUUCGUAGAUAUUUGUAGGAAUGCCGAUAGAGAAGUCAGCUCACUGGACAGAUACUGACGCUGAAGCGCGAAAGCAUGGGGAGCAAACAG